rnacentral:lncRNA from 1 species
GUAAAACUUAGUGACCAUUUUGACAUUUAACCCUUAAAUUUAUCUAAUUAACCAAGGAAGCUGAUUUUCACACUUCAUUUAGUCUCUCACACACCCUUUGUUUUAUUUUUGAUAUCGAAUUGAAUAACGUAAAGGAAAACAACGAAUAAAAUUAUGUAAGGGUAUGACAAAGGAGAAAAAUGUGUCCAUUUAUCAUUUUACUUAAUCAAUUGAGAUGAGAUAUACAUUUAGAUAUUUUUUUCACAUUAAAAAGAGAAACACCACUAAACUAAAAUAAUGAUUGUCGACUUCAGUAACUAACUUUCGACAAAUAAAAUACAAAACCAACAUAUACAAUAGUAAUUGGCGACUUUCACUAAGUUGUCAUGGUAACUAAACAUAAACUAUUGAUUAUUUUCUCAAAAAUGAAUAAUACAAAAUGUUUCAACAUAUUAAAUUAGGCCAAUUUUUUUGUGUGCUCCAUGUGGUGUUAUUGGACUUUCAAUAUGACCCUCAUGGUAAAAAAGUUGUUAAUAAAACUCUCGUGAUGAGCUCUGUUAACAAUUGAGGUUCACAUCUUAACUUCCGUUAAAUAAAGAGGAUAAAGUUGUCCUUUCAAAAUCAGAAAGAAACCUAAUAGCUAGAGCAUCUUUAUAUUUUUAACAAGCGAUACUAUCUACACUAAAGGGAUGUGGGACUCACAAUGGACUAGCAAUUAUGUAGUUCAAAUUUACAUUUGACGAGAAUCGAAUAUAAAACUUCUCACUUAUAAAUGAAGAAAAAUACUAGUAAAAUCGUAGUACUGAGCGGCACUGGAGCAUCUCUAUCUUGUUUUUGCACAUCCACUAACCCGCGACAAAUGGAUGAAAGGAAGUCUCCAAUUUUGUUCUUUGGCAACUCCUACUCUUGAACUCCGUACUCGGAAAAUUUUGAGGCAACUUAAUGACAAGCAGCGGGCAGCUAAGUCGGAGUGGAAUGGGGUACCGAGGACGACCCUCUGCUGUGAGUUGGUUUGACAACAUGCUCUUCGCUGCCUUAUGGAGUAAUGGGGGGUGUUUCUUUUAUCCAAAGCUACCGUAUAGUUUUAGCCAAAAGAAUUAAUCUGCCUCUGCUUCUUCAUGGAAUCCUCUCUAGCCGAUAUAAUUGUUUCCGCCUCUGCCGGUUUCAUAAUUUGUCGAACCCUAAUUCAUCAUCGGUAGGCAGCGACCAAGCAAUCAACUGACAUAUAAACGAAACAAGAACCCAUAGUAAUAGUUUCUUUAAUUUGAUUUUGAAUGGACAACUUUACCAUUUUUAUUUAACGGAGACUAAUAGAAGUUUAGGUUUGGAUCUUAAUUGCUAACAGAGGUCAACACAAAGGUUUAAUUAGUAACUUUUUCACCAUAAGAGUCACAUUAAAAGUAUGAUGUCACAACAAAGACCAUAAAAAAAAAAUUGGCCAUUAAAUUAUAGGAAAACUAAUGAAAAUGACUUAAAAACUUUGAGUUUUAACGAUAAAGACAAAAAAAUGGUAAAGUGAAUAGUACCAAGAUUGACUUUUUAGUGUAAAAAUGUGGUUUUUCGUUAAAGUGAACAGUAAUGCGAGCUUUUCGUUAAAACUCUCUUAAAUUAUGCCUUUCACAAAAAAACAUAUUAAAUUACGAAAAAAUCUUUGGUCCUUUUUUAAAGGUGGCAAAAAGACCGAGGUAUUUUUUUUUUUUUUUUUGUCAAAAAUUAAAUUUUGUUAAAUUAGAUAUUAGAUUAACCACCGACAGGAGUUGAGCUCACGUUAUCUUGCAAAUGCUUGACACAUUUUCAUCAACAUAGUAAAGGGCCACGUACAAGAAGCCCGGGGGUUGAGUUAGUUGGCAGUGUUCUGUAGCUAUGCAUAAAAAAAUGCAAAGAGGCCACUCUCCUCAUCCCGAUAUUCUUUUCUUUUGGUCGGAUGUCCUCUCGCCUAUAUUCACUGACUAAAGAGAUUUGGAUUGGAUCACGAAGUCAAUUACCAAUCAUCUACUUCCAAAUAGACAGGAAAACAAACCAUCACCAUAAAUAAUUCCAAACAAAAAGAAUAACAGAUUAAAUAAAAAGUGGUGGAAUAAAAGGGAGACACACAUCAGUAAUCCACCCUUCUCUCCCCUCUCCUCUCCUCUCCUACGUUGCUUCCCUUUUCCUCCAACCCCUCAUUUUUUUCUCUAUUUUUUUUAUUUUCCUCCAACCCCUCAUUUUUUUUCUCUUUUUAUUUUUUUUAAAAUUUUCCUCCAACCCC